CCAAACAGAUAAGCUAGAUCUCUUCACAUCUCGUCGUACUUCACAUCUCUUCCAACGCAUACCUAUCCUCACCGCGCGACUCCACCACCACCAUAACCACCACCACCACCUUCCUCACCGCGCGGCUCCACCACCACCAUCUGAAGGAGAGUUUCCCCACCGUCGUCUUUCCUACCUUCGCGCGACUCCAUCUGUUUCACACAAUCGAUUUGUGAAGCUAGACUACUAAAGAGACUUAAUUACCCAGGAGCGACUGAAUUUGGGGUGGAUUUGUCUCAGGCCAACAUCUCAAUUCAACUUGAUGUUGGGAAGGGAGGAAAUAGUGGCUCAAAUGCUAUAGCACCCGUUGUAGAGAAAUGAGUCGUCGUUGGAUGUACGGUGACCAUACUACGGUGGAAUACUUGAGUGGGG